UACGUAGGGGGGCGAGCGUUGUCCGGAAUGACUGGGCGUAAAGGGCGCGUAGACGGCUGUCUAAGUCUGGAGUGAAAGUCCUGCUUUCAAGGUGGGAAUUGCUUUGGAGACUGGAUGGCUUGAGUGCGGAAGAGGUAAGUGGAAUUCCCAGUGUAGCGGUGAAAUGCGUAGAGAUUGGGAGGAACACCAGUGGCGAAGGCGACUUACUGGGCCGUAACUGACGUUGAUGCGCGAAAGCGUGGGGAGCGAACAGG
rnacentral:rRNA from 1 species